rnacentral:rRNA from 1 species
UGGGGAAUUUUGGACGAAUUGGGCGAAAGCCUGAAUCCAGCAAUGCCGCGUGUGUGAAGAAGGCCUUCGGGUUGUAAAGCACUUUUGUCCGGAAAGAAAUCCUUGGCUCUAAUACAGUCGGGGGAUGACGGUACCGGAAGAAUAAGCACCGGCUAACUACGUGCCAGCAGCCGCGGUAAUACGUAGGGUGCAAGCGUUAAUCGGAAUUACUGGGCGUAAAGCGUGCGCAGGCGGUUUGCUAAGACCGAUGUGAAAUCCCCGGGCUCAACCUGGAACUGCAUUGGUGACUGGCAGGCUAGAGUAUGGCAGAGGGGGGUGAGAAUUCCACGUGUAGCAGUGAAAUGCGUAGAGAUGUGGAGGAAUACCGAUGGCGAAGGCAGCCCCCUGGCAAGUACUGACGCUCAUGCACG